rnacentral:rRNA from 1 species
AGUGAACGCUGGCGGUAGGCUUAACACAUGCAAGUCGAACGGCAGCACAGUAAGAGCUUGCUCUUACGGGUGGCGAGUGGCGGACGGGUGAGGAAUACGUCGGAAUCUACUUUCUCGUGGGGGAUAACGCAGGGAAACUAACGCUAAUACCCGAUACGACCUACGGGAGAAAGUAGUGGACCUUGGGACCGUGCGUGACUGUAUGAGCCGAUGACGGAUCAGCUAGUUGGCGGGGUAGGGGCCCACCAACGCGACGACCCGUAGCUGGUGCGAGAGGAUGGUCAGCCACACUAGAACGGAAACACGGUCCAGACACCAACGGGAGGGAGGGGAGGGGAGUGUAGGAUGAUGGACGGGAGGAGGGUCCAACCAUGCCGCGUGGGUGAAGGAAGCAUUCUGGUUGGGAUGCCAUUCUGUUGUGAAAGGAGAGCAGCAGGUUAAUACCCCGGUGUUCUGACGGUACCCGAAGAAUAAGCACCGGCUAACUUCGUG